AAAAACCCAGCUUGAGAGCAUUGGAAAAAAAAAAUAUGAGCUGAAUGUCUAAUGGAUGCUAAGUCCAGUUUUCAGAACCACUGUACAUUCCACGGCACAGUUAGCAGUGCCUGCCUGGAAAAGUUUUGGAGGUCAUCGUGGAAGUUGAUUUGCCUCCUGUCAGUGUCCCCUUUCCCUGCUACCAAAAAAGUCUUUCAAGGAUGGAGCUAAGGUCAAAAAUGAGUGAAAAAACUUGCAGUGUUUGUAUCCAUUAAACGGAAGCCCCCUCACUCUGAGAGGUCACUAGAGGACUUCAUAGUGGGGUUGUGCUGCUUAUCACAGAUGCAGACACUUGCCCAGAUAGGAGCAGGGAAAAGCAGGGGACGUUUCCUACUCACAUUGUGGCUGUAUGAGAACACGAUGGGACUGCUUUGCUGUUCUCUUUACUCUGUCCUUGGAGAGGUGUGAAAAGCUGUAUUGCUACAGGCAAUUUAUUUAAUAAUUGGAAGCCAUAUUGAUAAUGGAUGUGGUAAUAUUUGUAGUUUAAUCUACUUUAAGCGGCAGUAACUAAUGGAAUUUUUUUCCUUGAUCACAUAUGUAGCACUUUUGUUACUUUUUAAAGAUAUUUAUAUUUGAUAAAUCUUUUUUUCAUUUUGAGAACUCAAAAUACCAAACAGUGAACUUGCAUUCUAAAGUCACCCUGUGAUCACCUUGUCAUCUAGUAGCAAAAUGAUGAACUAUUCAUGCAUCAAAGAAAAUUACAUCUGCUGGCCUUGUAUGAAAAUGAUCUCUUGGCAUCCCGAUUAAAUGACACACUGUCACUGUGGGUAAGAGGAAAGAGCCUUCAAUGUAGCAGCACAGGGUGCGCCUGAAAGAGGCACAACUGCUGUGGAUUUUCUGCCUCGCUCCAUCUCUCCUAUGUAUAAUGAAGCCUUGUUUAAAGGGGCAUGUGGGGCUGGAUGUUAAGCACGGCUUCUUUUUGUCCAUUACCUGAAAACAAUUUCUAAGAUAAAAGGAAGGUGCCAUUUCCUUACCUCUUCACCCAUCCUCCUCCACCAAAUGUAUUCAACUUAAAACUAUGAGAGAGAGAGACUGAAUGACCUUCCUCAGUUUUCCCUUUCUCAUUCAGGAGAUACUGAAUAUCCACCAGUUUGUAGUUGGUUUCCUUCCACUUAAGGCACACGCUGACUGCAUCAUUUCCUUAUCUGUUAAUCCUGCUUAUGUGAGUGUGAGGAAAGUCUUUGAGAGGGCAUGAAAGUGCCACCUUAUAUAUGUCUGUGACUUUAAAGAGCUAUAUGCAGGGCCUGGUCCCACUUUUGUCCAUGGAUUUCAGGGGGAAAAAAUAUAUGUACUUUUUUCAGCUUCCAAGCAUUGAAGUGAAGUGGAGCCGUCUCUUCUGUUUUACUGUAUUACUUGAACCAACAAAUUCAAGAGUAGCAUUUGUUAUUCUCAGGAAUGAGCCUCCCACCGCCCCCCCCCCCCCCCAACGACUCACAUUCUUUCUUGGUUUAUCUUUUUAUUUCAAUUAGGAGAUUACGUUCUCUUCCUUUCCUUUUAUUUUGCUUAGAGGAAAUGUAACAUAGUCCCAUUUUUGUGGAAUUUUGGCGCUUAUUCUCAAUUGAAUCAGAAAGUACAAGGAGACAGAGAAAAAAUCCACUCUGACAAGCCGCAUCCAUGAUUGACUGUAAGGAGAUUAUUAUAAUUGAUAGCUUCUUUAUCAUGGGAUUGCUAGUAUCAUUUGUACUUGCUGGUCUUUUUAAAGGAACAGACUCAAACUGUUAAGACAGCUGCAGUUUCUAAAGAAAUACAAAGAUUGCCGUGGAUGCACUCAAAGGUUUCAUUGUUUUAACACCUUUAAGGGAGAAAAAAAGCUUCAGAGAAUAAAGGCAAGUUUGCAUCCAUGAAGGGCAGUACCAGACCCUAUAUGGCAAUGUGGUAAAACUGAAAGAAUAUUUCUACCACUGCAGGAGAAUGUCCUGGAGAGCUCAGUGGGAACAGGAGGAAGGCAUCUUCCACCCACAGUUGUUCUUGUCAUUGGAGAAGACCGCUGGCUGCUCUGAAGACCCACUGCCUUACAUGUCACUUUUGCUUUUUCACCAGGAGUGAGAAUUUACUUCCUUUGGGCCUAGAUUUAAACCUGUUUGUUAGUUUUCUGUUUGUCACGAAGUUCAAUUCUGCCAUUUUGUCCAGGCCACCUUGGUUCUUGUAAUGGUGUGUGGCGCUGCUACUGUUAUAUUUCUGGUGUCUUUAGGUAGUAUAUUUCUCUCUUAGGCUUUUUCAGGUUUUAGAGGUGGAAUUAAAAUAGAAACCCUAAACUUCCGUAUUACUGAAGGCAAAGCAGCCAGGCUCUAAAAACUCACACUGUAUGCUUCUUGGUUGUUCCGCCCCUCCCGUUGUACUUCACUCUCUCCUUCAGGCCCCAGGGGACUCCCGCAGGGGCUGUUCCUUCCUGUCGAGGAGGACUUUCAAAGGUCUUUUGAAGUGGGGUGUGGGGGAACUUGCCAACAGGUAUUCAUAUAAUUUGUUAUUUCUUUAAAGACACCUUAAUUGAAUUACUAUGGUCAGAUGGGUAAACUUUCCAAACUUUAAAAACACUGACACAGGGACCUUUUAAAAUGGGUCAUCUUGAUGAGAUCUCUGCCCAUCUGUUGAUAACCCUAACAGUGGAUGAAGGCUGGGGAGGGCAACACCCUGCAUUCUUAUCUGAGCCUUUCAGUGCUAUUCAGUUCCAAAUGUUUUGAUUUGUUUCAACAAAGUCUGUAAUGUUGGAGUGCCCUUACAGCAAUUUUCUUCACAAUCAAAAUCACAAUCCUUUAAGUGGUUAAUAAAUGUAGUUGCCUUCCACUCACUUAUGACUCUGGACAGUCCCCACCCCUGUCACUCACAAGGGCAGUCUUCCCACCCCACCCCCAUAUUCACAUUCCCAUGGCCCAUCACAGGAAGAAGGAACCUGGGGCAGAGAGGAGGAAAAUCAUUAAGGCAGAGGUGUACACAUCCAGUUCUCUAGUUCUUGGUAGAUUUAUGGUGGCAGCCAGUUCAGUGGUCACCACCACCUAUGUUAGGUCCAUGUAUCCAGAUAUAUUUUACCUCAAAGGAGAUGACUGAAGAAUUCACCAAUAUAGUUAUUUCCUUUCUGCCUGUUUAACAUUUGUCUUUAAGAACUGUUGGCUUUAGAAACUUCUCCCUUGGAUAUCAACCAUCAGGCACCAAGUACAAACAGACUCAUUGAAUCAAGAGUCUCCAGCCUCAUCCUGUGAAUAGCUCCUCUUCUGUUUCCCUCUGACUAGGCCUUCAGCUGACUUCUUUGCUGGAAUUUUCUAAUCUUGUGACAGCAGGGAAAAGCUGGAUGUGGUCCAUCUCUUAACACAAACACUCCUCCCUGUCUUGACCAGCUACGUAUUCCACUGACCAGCCUCAUCAUCUCUGCCCUCAACAGUGGAAAUGAUCCCUUUCCCACAGAUGUUCUCCCUCCCUCCUUCCCUUCCCCUUCCUACAAAUGUGAACUCUUAAGUCUUUACUCUCUGGUCUUCAGAAGGGUUUGGUUACAAGCAGUCUUCCCAUUUAAUUUGUGGCUAUGCCUUUUAAAAUUGUUUUUUGUCUUUUGUUGUUCGGAGAACGACCAGAGUAUUUUCUCCCCAGUGUGUCCCAACAGAUUCUUAGGCAAUAAUUUUUCUUGUUGAUGAUCCCGUGCUCAGUAGCACACUACAUUGAAGAACCCUGGCCUUCACCAUUGUGUGUUGGUUUCUGUGUUAAUCUCUGUGAUCUGAAUCAUGUCAGAGUGAUGAUAGAUUUUGUCAUUUUGUUGUGAUUAUUAGUAAUGUUUUACUACUGUAUUCAUUGGGGCUGUGUUGAGACCAGCCAAAUCCAUUUAUAGCUUUACUGAGCCGGAUUGAUUUGUCAGGAUUUCCCAAGUGAAAGUUGGGCAUAUUGCCCAGCUCCUGCUGGUGGUAUCUUUGGAGAGUGUGGGAUGGGGUGGGGGGAUGUCCUGGGGCAGGGGUGGGAAUGACACAUAUAAGGCAUUCCUUCUUUUUUUUUUUUUUUUGCUUGUGCUCAUUAAAUAGCAAGGGUGUUUACUCAGGAUUUGGGGAUCAGUUGUCAGCCAUGUUGAAUUUGGCAAACUGAGCUGUGUGCCCUGAAAGCCCUCUUUUUAUUUCUUCAUUUCCAUAUUGUCCGACUUACUUCACCUAGGAAUACCUGAGUUAUCCAGUCCAGUGUUCCCUGAUGAGAGUGGAAGAUUUUCCUGGAGAGGCAGCUGUGCAUGGCCAGGUCAUCUGUCAGGAUGUUGUGGUGGUGUGCGAUCAGAGCAGAGGGCCUUUCUUUUCCUGUACUGUGCUCUACUUCCUUAUGCAUGCUUGGUUUCAAAGAUAACCGCCACUUUAAAAGAAAGAUUUCCUCACAGCUCUCCAGAGAACUAUCAUACUAAGGUGAUAGGAAAGGCUUCUCGGAUACAAGCCAACAAGUCAGUUUUCUGAUUACAGAAACUCCUCUCACAGGUUAUGUUUGGAAAGGCUGUUCUCCAUUCCACUUAUAAAUUGAAAGUGAUAAGCUACUGUCUUGUGAUCUUGCAGGGUCAGUGGUUGACUCACUCAUCUCUGAAAGGUAACUUUGUUCAUAUCUAUGUAUUUUCAAACCUGGAAGCUUGUAAAUUGGAAGUUUCAGUAUUAGCUUUAUUAUUCUUUCUUGGUGAGGAAUAGAAAUGGCAGCAAAAAGAAAGCCAACAAUCUGAAAACUCCAGUCUCCUCUAACACUGGCUUUGUUUUAAAUCAAGACGGGAAGAGAUACAUGAGGGGAGGGAGGGAAGAUAUGCCGGCUGCCCUUUCUUAUCUCAGUGAUGUAGAUGCCUCGGGAUUAUAGGCACGUGGAUCACUGAACCUCUUUUUUGUCAUUCUUCCUAUGACAUUUGUGGCAGAACUUUUUAGUUGAUUCUGUUCACAUGAAAUGUGACAAGCAUUUUUACACCAUGAGACAGUUUACUACCCACAUGCCACACCCAUUGUCUGUCUCAUCAGCCAGCCCCAUAACUGCACCCAGAGGGGUGCAGCUGCAGGGGAGCCAUGCCUUUCUCCUCUCCUGACACUCCUUUCACGUGGCAGGUUUGCAGGUUGGUUGGCCCUGAUCUGGACAGCUGUGUCCGUGCCUGCUCGGCUGCCCUCCAGUUGGUCGGUGUGACUGGCGUGGGCAUGUACCCCCCGACUCGCACUUGAGAAGUCUUGGGAUGCCGGCUCCCUCGACUCCAUUUUCAUUUUAAGUAAGAGUGGCUCUGUAUAGCCAUAAUUAACUCUCAAAUUCACAUUGGUGUGCUGUGAUCAAAUGAAGGUUGGACUGAAUCUUUUCAAAUUGUAACCAUGGUAAUUCAGGGGGGUGGCAUAGAAUGAAUAUAUAAAAAUAUAAUGGCAAUUGUUCUGAAUGACUGAGUGUCCUCCUGACAUGUAAUUAGCUGUUUUAGCAGGAUGUAGAUUGGCAUGGUCAUAAUUAAAAGAAUUUCUGUCUUUUAUGUGAUUGGAAAUGGCAGCGCUCCCAUCCCCUGUUCCCUCUUAGCACUAAUGCUCCCAAGAACAUUUGGAACAGCAGCUCCGUAAACUAAAAUAAUGACAUGGUGCUCGUGUUCUCCCCUAAGUGAAACAGCAGAAUUUGGAGUUGUUUCAGCUUCAAAAUGGAAGCCUUUGAUUAUUGUUCCCCAUUUGACUUCUAAGUUCUUUGAAACUUCACUCAACAUCCAGUUCCAACUUGCUCCACCUCUGGCAGAAACCACAGUCAGGACCCCAGAAGGAGCCCCUCUGACCGGCCCCCACUGCAUUCCAGCCCAUGAUCUGGCCAGCUCCGGGCCCUUGCUUGCCUAACUCGAGGACGUUGCUGCUUGCUGGGCUCUCUGGGAUCUUCAGAUUUCCCUUGGUUGCUUGAUAUUUCCAUUGCCGUCACUAUCAGAAAGCAUUUCCCAAACAGAAGUUUACAGAAAAUUGAAUCGAGGUUUCCUCAUUGAAUCCUAAGACUCAAAGCAGACAACAUGACAGGACACACAUAACUAACACAGGCUUUAAACAGGUGGAGGCGUGAAUGGAGUACUAUUCACGACAUUCUAAAGCUACUGGAGCACAGGACACGUGUCUAUACGCUCCUCUCACACCCCUUACUCGGCAGCUGCCCCACUCCGGCCGUUGCCGUUGCCCUGAGUCUUCCCCACUGUUCUGCUGUGCCAGUGUGAGCAUCUCCCCGGCACUCAAGUCCAUGUUCUCUCCCUCCCGCUCUUCCUCCUGUCUCUUCCACGCUCCCUGUCGCAUGGGACAUCAUGUGGGCUUGAUGCCGUACACAGUCCCUGACCAUGGCCCCCUACUCUUCUCCAGAAGUGUCACACUAGACAGGAGCUGCUGAGUCACCAACUCACCUUUCCCUAGAAUGUGGGUUUGUUUUUUCUCCCCCAUCACUUGCAGAGGUCUUUAUUCAAUUAUAUGAUCAAGAAUGAGUCUACAAGAAUACCAGCACCAGACAUAGUGCCAAAUGGCCUUUUGUAAGCUGUUUCGUGCCCUUGAGGCUCGCACUUGCGCUGGGUGAGCCCGGGACCGUUAGCCUUUUCUUUUCUAGGUCUGGACACUCCGGGGUUGAUUAGGCUAGCCACUGGGGAGAAUACAGCUCUGGCCUUUUUUCAUAUUUUGCUGCUUCUCUUUGUACAGAUCUUUCCCCCUUCACAUACCAAAAGGAAUCCUAACCUAGUUGAAAUGCUAGUUGCAAUUCAGUUUCAUGAGAAUGCUGAAGUAGGCUGCUGAUUUAAAAUUUUCCUCUUCCCUGAAAAUACACACACCUAGAGAAUUUAGGGAAAGGCUCUUAGGGCUUGGGAAUCUUAUCUUUUCAUUCCCCACAAAAUACCUACAAAGAAAUGUCUAGUAUUCCCUCAGUAUUCCUCCUCGUAUAGGCUCUGAAAGCAACCUCAUUCCCACCCAGCCCUUGCACACCGGCAUUCAAGAUCCAUGCAUGCAGUUGUUGAAACUGUUUUCUUUGGGAUCCCAUCUUUAUGACAACUGGAAUGAUUAUAGAUUUAUGACCUCAAAGAGUAGAGCAUUCCUUUUCCUAUUUUCCCAGCUGCUAAAAUAUGACUGUCUCCAUUAGAAUUUAGAAUCCGUCUUAAGCUUAGAGAUGGUAAGAGCUGACUGGAUGAGUCUAAUUCUAUGAUUUGUGAGACAUGCAUUAAAACCGUCAGCAGAACAUUCUGAUGAUCCACCUACACUCAAAGAAAACACAAUUAACACCACAGUUAAAACCUUCUAAUGGAGCCCCUGUCUUAGGGAUCAAGGUAUUAGAGGUGCUGCUUCAGGGAUGGUGCUACUUCAAAAGAACUGAAGUUGGAGAGACACCUCCCUUCCCAAAUGCUUCUGCAGGCCACUCUGGUGAUUCAGAAAACCCCAACCAUAUAUUCCUUUACCAGCAGCGCCCACCCUUUUCCGUAACUCAGCUUACCAAAAUCAGUGAAAAUUGAGACAGUGCUUACCCAUGAAAUAUGUGGUUUUUGAACAAAAACCCCAGAAGUUAGUUAUUCUUAUAGGAAACUAAAGAUGCCACCAUUGUAAAUCAUAAUACCACAGAGACAAAUGCACAGGUCUCCCGACCACCUCAAAGUCAAUACAGCCCAUGUUUUCUGAGCACGUACUGUGUGCUGGGCACCGCGCUGGACAUGUGUGCUGCCUCAUGACCCGACACCAAGCAAGUCACCUUGCCCUUGGCAAGGCAAGUCUCCCCUCAUUUCUUUCAUUUCAGUAGGACGUUCAUCUUCAAAGAACAGACCACAUAGGAUGGUCUGCCCUCUCUGAACACUAACCUGGUUUGCUUUCUCACGCAGCAGUGCCAGGUAACCUCCCAGGCGCACUGUGGCAUCGCCCCUGCCUCUGUGAGCUGAACUCCCUCCGUGAGGGUCUGGACGCGAGGGCCCCUCCAGAGUCUUCCUCCUUGGUCAGUGAUGAGGACAGGAGUGCAGGGAGGUGCCGCAGUGGUUGACAGGGUGGGAAGCCUGUGUGGCCGAGGGGAACUUGAACUCUGGCACCCCUUGCCUGCAGUUAGCCAAGGCAGAGACCAGGAAACCCUCUUGCGCUUCCCAUCUUCUCUCUCCAGCUCUUGUAGCGCUAUCCUGGCCGUUCCUUCAGGGCUCCUGCUGUGUUCAGGAGCAUCUUGCUCGGCUGGCCCCUCCUCCUCUCUAGAAACCGGGGGUCUGGGGUUCUGGAAUUAGAUCAGUGUCUGCUCUGCCUCAGGCCUCCCUGCCUCCUCAUGGGCCCUGACUGCCAAGAAAUAACAGUUGCUGGAGACAUAUCUUGAUUUGGGGUCAGUGUAAGAACUUUCUAGAACCCAGAAUCCAGCCAAGGCAUGAGCUCCUUUGAGGUAGAGGUCUGGUUCCUGUCCUGCCACAUUUCACGUGGAACUGUGGUGACUGUUGUCAGGGACAUUGAACAAGGGACAUGGGUACCAAGCUGACCUGAGGACUCAGCUAACUAAAGUUCCACAUUUCUUCCCUCCUUCCCUUGUCUACCUCUUUUCCAUCAAACGUAAGUGGUCCUCUAGGGGUUGGCUCUCUCAUGGUCUUUCUCUUCUGAUCUGCUCUGCCCCGUCGUGGGCAUCUUGGAACCACCUCAGAAGCAAGGCCACAGCUGUGGACUGGUCCUCGUGAGAGUCUCCCUGGAUCCUCUGUACCUGUAAUAGGUACACAGUUACGUUAUUAUCCAACCUCCAGUCCCCAAAAAGCCUCCUUAAUUUGAAAGAGAAAAGGUAUAUGUGCCUUGCAUUUUGUUAUCGGUCCAGAUUUUGCAUCUGGUGGUGGCUGGGGUGCCAUUGGGAUUUUGGAAUGGGAGCAGUUUGAGUCCUCCCUCGGAAGGAACUCAUGGCUCUCACAAACCAGUGUCUGUGGCAGUGACAAGUCACAGAAUUUGUGUUUCAAGGCUUAUUCCUUCUUCCCUUUAAGACUUUUUCAACUUCCUGUCACUUCGGGCUGAGUCUCAAUUUCAGUCAUGUUUUGUGGCUUCCUUUGAGCACAGAAACCUCUCCUUUUCUUCCGUUACUGGAACUAAGAUCCCAGCAUAAACUCGUGAGAGUCAUUUUUCCACGUCAUCAUUCGUUGGAGCUAUUAAGCCCGAACACAGAAUGACAUUAGUGUUAUACUAAUGUAAGCAGCAGCCACUCUGGUGAUCUUGCAUUGAACUCUUUUGUUCUUAAACCAGAUUCACGGCGGGCAGGCACAGAGUUAGAAGAGUGGGCUGCAGGAAGACACGCGCUCAGCGGUGGCUGCUUUCAAGCAGCAUUGUUUUUUGCCUUGAAAACCACAUUUCAUUAUGUUAGAAUCGGUGAUCCCCUUAAUACUGCAUCUCUGAAAAUGGGCACCAUGAAACCAAAACCAAAGUUCUGGAUGUGGGGCAGUGGAGCUUUUCUUUCGAAGCACUGGGAGCUUGGGCAGGGCGUCCCGACUGCCCCUCGGUUUUGCCGGAGCACUCGGAAGGGCCUCCUCUUUUCCUAGUAGUUGCCUCAUGUUGACUCUAGAAAGCAAGUGUGUGCAGCCUGUGCCUCCCCGACCCAUGGCGGGCGUCUAGAUCAGGCCCUAGGAGCCUCCCCACCCCUGCCUCUUCUAGCCACUUCCCGGGGGGCUGUAGAGCACGGUCACGGGAAGGCCUCUGCUGGGCCGAGUCUCUGCGGUCCCUCAGCCAUCACAGCACUGGCGUCUUCAGACACACCCUGGCUGCAAGGCAGGACACUCCCCCUGCCGAGAGACACCAUGUGCGUCAUCAUUGCCUCCCCUGGAAGAGCCCACAGCCUUCUAUGAUCUCCCCCCGGGCUCGCCCUGCCUUCCACGGCCAUGGUCACGUUGGGUAUGCAGUACCUUUCAAGGAUAAAUUUUUGUUUAUGUUUUUUAAGUGCCUAAGCAAGAUACAGACCUCUGGAACCUGCCAGAGAGUCGGCCUAUGCCCUGUCCCCAUCCCUCCCCACCCUGCACUGGCCCUUGAGGGUGGGCACAGGGCGGCUGCCCCUCUCCAGUGUCCCUGGCGUUCUGCAGGCAGAACAAGGCAGGGAUAAGCUAGCGGGAGAGAUCGCUUCACAGCCACGUCAGGCUGGCUUCGUCACUGUUUUCCAGCGUUUCUUUCUUUAGGGCCGUUUCUGUUUAUGUGGUUUGGUCUUGGUUCAUAGAGAAUUUAAGAGUCUGCUUAGGGAAAUCUCAGUAGCCACUAAGAAGACAGGAGAGCAAGACAGCCUCAGAGCAGCAUUCCAGCUCUGGCUUUGGUAGGAGUUGGAAAUGUGUCCACAUCCAAGAGGGCGAAGCGUCGAAUCAUCCUAGCUCAUGAGCCUGCUGACUCACCGGCCAGCGUGAGCCACCGGAGCCCCAGCUGCCUUUCCGAGCCCUCUCUGCCUAGACUAGAGGGAUCAGGGUGUCUGCUCAGGAGGGCUUGGGAAAGCCAGCAGUCAGGCGUUCAGAUCCAAAGUGUGUCUUUGGAAAUGAGUGUGAGAGUAUUUGUUUCUUUUUUAAAAAAUAAUUUGUCUGACCUAAAUACGGGGCCUUUAUUCUGUGAUGGGUGUACGACAGAUUAUUUUGUGACUGCACUCUGUUCAAAUCACAUCUAAGCAGCGCUGAGAUGAUUUGUUGGUGCAUUAGAAGGUUUUGCAACAUGGAACAAUCCAUACCCAGGCACUUUAUUUUCAUUAAUAAUCCAGCAUUUUUGUUCAGACAAUGUAAUAACCCAAACACUGGGUAUUCAUAUUUGACACAUGGGCAAACUUGCCAGUGGAAUGGAAUUGUGACCUGAUAGAGAAGGGAAGGCAGGCUGAUGAAGGUGAUCGAAUGGGAGAACAGUGCUGUGGUGAUCAUGAGAAUGAGGCUUUUCUGUAGCAUGUAAACCAAACCGGACCCUUGGCAGUUCGUCGUCCCUCAGUUCUCCAGAUGCUAUUUUUUUGCAGGUUCUACCAAGUGCUUGUUGAUUACCCUAGUUGUAAUUAUCUAGGGAAGAGAUGAAUGUAAGUGAGAGUGCAGAGCACUGGGGAGGGUGACAGUGAAAUGCAAUUAGAGGCAGCAAGAGAGUCCUAGUCUGUUCUCACAUAACCGGACUUGAACGCUCCAGCGCGAGCAGAGUGCUGGGGGUGGAUUCCACUGCCGAACCACGGCAGCUUUGCUUUACUCUUCAGCAUGGGGGUGGUAACUAGCUGCACAGCAAGUUAUGAAAUGGAAAGCAAGCUUAACAGCUGUAAUCUCAUCGGAUACCCUGGAGCAGAUGCCUUGGGAUUGCCUGCAGUGUUUAGCAUCCACCAAAUAGUUGAGUUUCUAAGAUGGGCCAUGCGGGAUCCCUGCCACACGGGUGUGGGGGCAGCGCGCUCCUCCCUGCCUCGGCUGCUGUGUGUCUUAGUCUUCGUGUUUCCCCUUGGCGUCUCCUCUGGUCCCUGUCCAUCUUGUGCACCAUGUGUCCCUGAGGGCGAGUCACACCUGUGUCUUGAGUCUGCUGUAAGGUGUUCAGUCUACCUCAAGGGGUCAUCAUGGUAAGCUCUAUCCCACGGCAUCCUCCGUCCAUCACCACACACACUGGAAUGUAUCCCCCCCACCCUGCCCCUUUGAUAACCUCCUGACCCUGUCUUUCCUAUAAUCACCACAAACUCCUAGUGCAAAUUGGAUGCUGCUUUAAAUGUGAAAACAAUUGUUCAAAAGCUAUAAAACCUGAAUGAAAGCUGAAGCUGAAUUUAUAAGCCUUGUUGCAUAUGAGCCAAAAGUGCAAAAAGCUCUAUAUAAUGAACUAACCUGCCACUCGUAUAAAUAUAAAUAUAUAUAAAUAUAUUAAAAUCAGACUGUUCUACAAAAUUGUGUAUUUGUAUUUUUGUGUACGUACAAUUUUCUGCUAAGCAGAAGGAGGAUGUAGUAUAGGAUGCUGUGAGAAGAGAUUUGGUUUAAUCUUAUUUCUUUGUUACUUAUUUUUGUUAACAUCAGAUGCCUGUCUUUGUCUUAUAUGUGUAUGACACUGUUUGGAAAGCUGCAGUAUCUCUCUUCCUGAGGUCCAGAGGCCAUUAAAGAAUAAACACGGGGCUUAGAGGUGUCUUGGCCACCAAACACAGGAAGGGACACAGGAUCUCUCUGAACUUUGGAACAGACCCUCAUAUUCUGGGGCCAGAAGUUUGCCCAGAAAGCAGCAGGUGGCUCUGCCUGGCUGUAGAGCCCAGCUCAUUGGCUGUCCCUGGACUUCGUCUCCCUCUUCCGAGUAGUUGCUGCCUUUCUUCAGAUCAGGUUACCACAAUGCCUCCCCGCUGCUGACGCUUCAUCCCCCACACCUCCAGCCCCAGUUACCUGGAGCUUCUCAGAACCCACUUUGCCGGUGCUAAAACACAAGAGGGGGUGAAAGUGGCUGCCAGUAAUGGCCAGAAACCAACCACCAGAGGCCAGGCUGAAAGACAAGCUCCGGGUGUCCAGGGGCUGACGGGCCAACCAUGUGGCAGGUCCCAGGCCCCACCCACUGCGCCAUCCGCCUCUGAGCUCCACAGUGGUCCCACUAAUGGGAACCUCCUCUAGGGAGAGUGAUACUGCACCUUCACCCGUAGGACUCAUAUUUAUAACAAUGUGUAAUGGCUGUAGCAAAAAGCCCUUGUUUCUAGAUGUAAAUGGUCAAAGAAACAAGCGCUCUAUUGUAUUGAAUAAAAUAGUUCAAAUGAGUCCUGUAUCAUUGUAUCUCCUAUUCUGGAUUAGUGCCU
rnacentral:lncRNA from 1 species